rnacentral:tRNA from 1 species
AUUUAAAUAGCUUAAAUUAAAGAGUGUGACAUUGAAGAUGUUGAGGAGAUAUUUUUAUCUUUAAAUA